rnacentral:rRNA from 1 species
UACGUAGGGGGCAAGCGUUGUCCGGAAUUAUUGGGCGUAAAGAGCGUGUAGGCGGUCCGGUAAGUCAGCUGUGAAAGUCAAGGGCUCAACCCUUGAAAGCCGGUUGAUACUGUCGGGCUAGAGUCCGGAAGAGGCGAGUGGAAUUCCCGGUGUAGCGGUGAAAUGCGCAGAUAUCAGGAGGAACACCGGUGGCGAAGGCGGGUCUCUGGGCCGAUACUGACGCUGAGGAGCGAAAGCGUGGGGAGCAAACAGGAUUAGAACCGUACCG